rnacentral:misc_RNA from 1 species
UGAGAGGCCCGAAGCCAUAGUAGCACCAUGCGUAUAUGCCAUGAAGGCUUGGGGCCUCUCAACUAUCUCAGAAGCAGCUUUCUGUGAAGUAUCAGCCGCUUCUGUCCUAGCAGGUCUUCGACCCCUCUGAGCUGCUCGGGCAGACCUCUCUGUCUGUGGUGGAGCUGUGGGAACACUCCUCUGUGGGCAAUCCCGCAGAUAAUGAUCUGUAGCUCCACAACGGAAACAUCCCCCAGUCAACAUUUGACACUCCCCUUUGUGUCUCC